CAGUAGCCGCGGGAAUACGGAGGGAGCUAGCGUUGUUCGGAAUUACUGGGCGUAAAGCGCACGUAGGCGGCUAUUCAAGUCAGGGGUGAAAGCCCGGGGCUCAACCCCGGAACUGCCUUUGAAACUAGAUAGCUUGAAUCUUGGAGAGGCGAGUGGAAUUCCGAGUGUAGAGGUGAAAUUCGUAGAUACUCGGAAGAACACCAGUGGCGAAGGCGACUCGCUGGACAAGUAUUGACGCUGAGGUGCGAAAGCGUGGGGAGCAAACAGGAUUAGAUACCCGCGUAGUCCCUGUCUCUUAUAC
rnacentral:rRNA from 1 species